UAUAGGGGAAAAAAAAAGAUUCUGGAAAUACGGAACCAAGUAAAUUAGGGCUUUGGGUCAGCGUUCCGGUCAUUCACCCAUCAUGAUCCUGAUCUGGUUUCCUUUGACUGAAAGUAGUGAACCCUUUCUUUCUUUGAGGGUCUCUCUUGGCCUAUCUCUUGGUCAGGGGGCAUCAGCAGAAGGUUAAGAGGGAUCCUCUAAUGCCUUUUGGAGAAUUUGCCUAAAGAGUAUGCAGAGAUGGGGAACCCCCAAAGGCUUUUUCUAGAAGUUUCUAUCUUAGGGAUUUGCUCCAGUGGAAGGUGGGAGUCAUGGUUCUCAAUGAGGCAUCUUGUGGAUGCCAGAGUCCUAGCCCCAUGACCACAGUGUGAGCUGGUCAGCAGGUGCUUAAGCUUAAGAGAAAAAAAAAAAAAAAAAACGCCAAACCUGAAAAAGUUUGGGGAUGGGGCUUCCCUCUCUGUGUGUGGAAGAAACCAACCGAGGCUGAGAUCAGGAUUAAAGAAACUGAAAAGAGAAACAUCCAGCCCUUUUCAGAAGACCCCACCCUCUGUGUUCCUGGGGGGCCCUUGGCCCAUCUCCUAGUGUCCCCUUCACGGAGGAGCCUGCCUCAAACUGGUCCUCCGGUCCUAAGAAAACCCAACUCUGAGAAGAAAAUUGGGUGCAGCUGCUCCCAUGGAAGGAGCAAGGGAUGACGGACAGGCCUCUGUGAAAAUCUUCCAAGGAGGCUACUUUGAUGCGAGUGCAAGCAUCGAAUGACCAGUGUGGGCUCUCAGAAUCAGUCCUGUAAACACCUCCUUACAGGUGGGCAGGUGGGCAGCUGAUCCCUGCUGGGACACAGCGGCAGGGAGAAACCUCGGAUCCUGAAGCCAUCUGGCCUCUUCCGAAUCAUCCCUGGUCAUUAGGAACGUCUCCCCUCUGUUGAUUCAGAAUCUGCCUCGUCGAGUAAAUCCGACCCGCCCGUCGCCCCUGUAGAAGUUACUCCAUUCCAGCUUCAUUCCUCCUUCACAGUGCUUGAAGACGUGCCACCCCGAAGAAACCUCUUUUCCAGACUAAACAACUGUGGUGUCUUAAACAGAUUUUCGUUGACUUGCUUUUUGGAAUCCUAAAUGUUGUUGUGCUUUACAUGCUUCAAAUGGUCAGUGUCCCUUAAGAAAAAAAAGUGAGACUUUGAACCAAAUGCAGUGUUCUAAAC
ensembl:lncRNA